ACCGAAAUAGCUUAGUUGGAAGAGCCUUAGACUAUAGAUCGAAAAGUCCCUGGUUCGAUCCCGGGUUCCGCCA
rnacentral:tRNA from 1 species